rnacentral:sRNA from 1 species
CUUCAAAAUAAAGCACGCCAACACCGGA